GGGGGAUAAGCUUCAUUGUCGAGAGGGAAACAGCCCAGACCAUCGAUUAAGGCCCCUAAAUAAUUACUAAGUGAUAAAGGAGGUAAUAUUACCUAGACAACCAGGAGGUUCGCUUAGAAGCAGCAAUCCUUUAAAAAGUGCGUAAUAGCUUACUGGUCAAGUGAUUUUGCGCCGAAAAUGAAAGGGACUAAGUAAUUUGCCGAAAUUGUGGGUGUAAUUCAGUAGGAGAGCGUUCUGUAUAAGUUAGAAGUAAUAGUGAAAACAAUUAUGGACUGCACAGAAGUGAGAAUGUCAGCUUAAGUAACGAAAACAUUGGUGGAAAUCCAAUGCCCCGUAAACCCAAGGUUUCCUUAGCUAGGUUCGUCCACUAAGGGUUAGUCAGGUCCUAAAAUGAGGUUUAACAACGUAAUUGAUGGAUGACAGGUUAAUAUUCCUGUACUACUUUUUGUUUGUUUUGAGUGACGAAAUUACCUAUAUCAGCCAACUGUUGGUGUUUGGUUUAAUGCUCUAAGGUAUUAAAGUUUUUUAAAAAUUACUUUAGCUAAUGGCAGAAUACGACAUAAUGCUACGGCGUUAGAAGUGAUAAAUGGUUUGUUUCCUAGAAAAGCUCUAAGAACGUUAAAUAAAAAGUACCUGUACCGUAAACUGACACAGGUGGGUUAGUAGAGAAUACUAAGGGGCGCGAGAUAACUCUCUCUAAGGAACUCGGCAAAAUAACUCUGUAACUUCGGGAGAAAGAGUGCCUUUUAAUUUUAAGGUCUCAGUAACCAGGUCCAAGCGACUGUUUACCAAAAACACAGGUCUCCGCUAAGUUGAAAAACGAUGUAUGGGGGCUGACGCCUGCCCAGUGCCGGAAGGUUAAGGAAAUUGGUUAGAGUAAUCGAAGCUAGUAACUGAAGCCCUGGUGAACGGCGGUCCUAACUAUAAGGAUCCUAAGGUAGCGAAAUUCCUUGUCGGGUAAGUUCCGACCUGCACGAAAGGCGUAACGAUUUGGACACUGUCUCAGAGAGAGACUCGGUGAAAUAGAAUUGACUGUGAAGAUGCGGUCUACUUGUACUUGGACAGAAAGACCUUAGGAAGCUUUACUGUAACUUGAUAUUGAUUUUGGGCUUUUUUUGCGCAGUAUAGGUGGGAGGCAAAGAUUCACUUUUUCGGAGGUUGAUGAGCCUAAAUUUGAGAUACCACUCUUAAAAAGUUAGAACUCUAAUUGUAUUUUUAAACAAAAUACUUGACAUUAUCAGGUGGGCAGUUUUACUGGGGCGGUAGCCUCCUAAAAGGUAACGGAGGCGCACAAAGGUUUUCUCAGUCUAGACGGAAAUUAGAUGUAGAGUGUAAAGAUAUAAGAAAGCUUAACUGUGAGACUUACAAGUCAAACAGAGACGAAAGUCGGUCUUAAUGACCCGACGGUUCUUAGUGGAAAGGCCGUCGUUCAACGGAUAAAAGUUACUCUAGGGAUAACAGGCUGAUCUCCCCCAAGAGUUCAUAUCGACGGGGAGGUUUGGCACCUCGAUGUCGGCUCAUCGCAACCUGGGGCGGUAGUACGUCCCAAGGGUUGGGCUGUUCGCCCAUUAAAGCGGUACGUGAGCUGGGUUCAGAACGUCGAGAGACAGUUCGGUCCAUAUCCGGUAUGAGCGUUAGAGCAUUGAAAAGACUUUUCCUUAGUACGAGAGGACCGGGAAGAACACACCUCUGAUGUACCAGUUUUUGCGCCAGUAGAAUACGCUGGGUAGUCACGUGUGGUGUGGAUAACUGCUGAAAGCAUA
rnacentral:rRNA from 1 species